AGCAGGCGCGGGCGCGGGCCCAGUGAGAGGCAAAGAGAUGGAAGCUGGACUGCGGGGAGCCCAGAAACUUCCACCGCCCCGGGAAGGAGCCCAGCCACGAGCCGGGGCCGAGGGCCUGCGGAGGCCCCAACCUGAGGCCGGAGCGAGGAGGCCGGAGCAAGUUGAGGCGGAGAGGAGGAGCGAGGGGAGAGGAAGGCCGGGCGGCCGGCCCGCUCCGCGCCUCCCCCGGCCGGGCUGGGCUCCCGCGGCCGCCGGGAAGCAGGGAGCGCGCGGGGCGGACUCAGGGAGAAGUGAGCAGUUGUUUUCCCUGGCUGGAGCGCGGCGCGGCGGCGGCGAGGGGGGCUGGGAUGCUGGCCCCGAGCCAGGGAGACAGUUUUUUUUCUGUUUAAAGCGUCGUCGCUGCCGCCUGGGGGAGCGAGGGUGUGCGGGCGGGUGGAGGCUGGGGGGCGGUCCCCGCCCCAGAUGCCCGCCCCGCCGGAACCCGCCGCCGCCGCGCUGGGCCCGCUCCAGAGAGCCCUCACCUGGGACCGCUGGCCGCCCCGCCGGAUUCCUCCGGGCGGGGCUGGAAGGCCCGCGCCCACCUCCGCCUGGCAGCAUCAAAGUGGGAAACCGAGGCUGGGACUAGGAACCUCCUGCGUGCUCCUGCUAACAAGUAGAACGAAUCUCUGCCCUGCCAGACCUUCUGUACUGGAGGAGACAGACAUCUGACAAAUCAAUUCAUACGUGGCUGAGGCUGGGACAGAGGCCGGUGCUGGAACAGAGAAGACUAAGGAGCUGGGAACAAGAGAGGUGGUGGGACCUGGAGUGCAUCUCACCACCCUCCCAGGGAGGUACAGCCUUGCCUCCAGAUCCUAGUACAGGGCCUGGCACGCAGAGGGUGCUGAAGUUUGCUGAUUGACUGAAUGGACUGAGACCACAAAACUCUGAAAGACGGAACAAUUAGACUUGCAUCAUCUGGCCUCCUUUCCUCAUUUUUAGACAACGAAGCAAAGGAGCUGACAUUCGUGAAGCCCUUGUUGGAUGCUGGGCACACGCUUCUAGGCUCUGAAGAAAGAAAUGGCUCUAAGGGUUGUAGGUUCUAAAGAUGACGGUUGGAAGUUUCAGAAGCCUGGAGGGGACCAUUCUGCCCUGAAGCAUUUCUCUUCAAAGACACUUUACUGAAAGUGACUGUCACUGAGUCCCUCUGAUGUGCCCCUGCUGUGAUGAAGGGCACUGAGAGAUGGGACUGGAAAAUGCAAUGAACCAAUCUUCAUGCUUGAUCAGUCAGAGAGGAUCUUCAGCCCUGCCCCCCGUCUCCACCUUCCGAACCCAGGAAAAGUCACUGGUGAGAAUCCAGCUCUGGACGUGCGCUGGCCAGAUGGGGUCACAGCCCUGCCACAUCCCAGCAGGGUGACUGUGACUAAAUCUCUUAACCUGUCCAGGCUUCAGCUUCUCCACCUGCACAUUGGGAGACAUAACUCACAGACUUGUCCUGAGGAUUAAAGGAGAUAAUUCAAGCUCUUAGUAUAGUGCCCGGCCCCAAGAAAAAAUACACCAAAAGUUGAGUAUUAUUAUUUUUGCUACUGUAUCAUCUAGUCCUUUCUUGUUUCCCAGAAACGUCAGGUCAAUUCACAUUGCAGUGAAAGCCAAGAAGAAAAGUCGACCCCUUUUGGAGGCCUGUUGCUGUGAUAAUAAAAUAAUGCCAGUUACGAUUUUCAGAACCUCGGUUACACAGCAUAGGCCACUCGUUGCCAUGUGAACCUGACCCACCAGAUAAGGCAGUCAAGCGGGACCUGCAACUGAGCUGUGUGUGAAUAUGCAGCCGUGGGGUGUGCUGUUACUCAGGGACAGGCCUAACUACUGCCACAUCCACUGUGCCACAGGUCCCGUGGGGGUGGCACCAGUGACCUAGAUAGACGCCUGCACACAGUGGACUGUGGUAUGGGAGAGGACGCUAAACUUAAGAAGUCUUUUCUAAUGACUGCCCUUUGCACUGGAGGGAGAUUCUGUCUCGAUCUUCCACAGCUACUCACUGCACCAAUAUCCUUGAGAAGAGAGUCCAGGACAAAGGCAGUCAGUUGCCUCGCUUGCAAAAUGCGCAGAAACUCAAGAGAUCCCUGGAGAAUUGUCUUACAGUAAUAUCCACCCCUCAUUUCUACACUGUCUUGGCUUUGGGCGAAUUUUCCCAUGAGUUCACCACUCUGUUGGCAAAUCUGAUCAACAGAGGCUAGGACCAAAUCUGUUCAAUUUGUGUCAUACAGCAUUUAAUUAAAGCUACUACCAACAGAACUACAAGCAGCAGGAUGAAGCCAACUUGCAGUACUGACCUCAACCAUACCUCCCAGAUGAACAAAUCCAUAAAGCAUCAUAUCUACCUUAGAAAGCCAGGUGGCUCGCUCCUUAGUUCUCUGCAUCAGCCUUUCCACCUUUGCCCAGAAGGCAUUCAGGAGAGCCUCAAUUCACUGACCAAGGUUGCUAUGGAUGGUAGAUUUCUCCUGUACUUCUUCCUUGCAGACUAGAGUCUGUGCAAUCAAUACAUCUGCUGUAUCUGGAUUAAUGCUUCCAGCCAUGAGUAAGAAGGUCCUUUUUCUCUGACCCAGGAGUCUCCUGUCUUCUGCCAGCAUGCAUGAACCUGUGGCAGGCUCAUGUGUUGGUUUGCAAGUAGGCUAAAGUCAAGGAUAAAUUUCAAGUCACUCUGUUUUCUGGAGAGAGACAAGUUAAUGUGUGACUUCCACAUCAAUCAUACAGUCUCAAGGGUACUAGUGGUGCUU